rnacentral:rRNA from 1 species
AAGUCGAGGGGUAACGGGGUGCUUGCACCGCCGACGACCGGCGCACGGGUGCGUAACGCGUAUACAAUCUACCUUGUAGAGGGGAAUAGCCCAGAGAAAUUUGGAUUAAUGCCCCAUAGUAUUAUUAGAUAGCAUUAUCUUAUAAUUAAACAUUUAUGGCUACAAGAUGAGUAUGCGUUCUAUUAGUUAGUAGGUAAGGUAACGGCUUACCUAGACUUCGAUAGAUAGGGGUCCUGAGAGGGAGAUCCCCCACACUGGUACUGAGACACGGACCAGACUCCUACGGGAGGCAGCAGUGAGGAAUAUUGGACAAUGGGCGAGAGCCUGAUCCAGCCAUGCCGCGUGCAGGAAGACGGCCCUAUGGGUUGUAAACUGCUUUUAUAGAGGAAGAAACACUCCUACGUGUAGGAGCUUGACGGUACUCUACGAAUAAGGAUCGGCUAACUCCGUGCCAGCAGCCGCGGUAAUACGGAGGAUCCAAGCGUUAUCCGGAAUCAUUGGGUUUAAAGGGUCCGUAGGCGGGACAAUCAGUCAGCGGUGAAAGUCUGUGGCUCAACCAUAGAAUUGCCGUUGAUACUGUUGUUCUUGAAUACUUAUGAAGUGGUUGGAAUAUGUAGUGUAGCGGUGAAAUGCAUAGAUAUUACAUAGAACACCGAUUGCGAAGGCAGAUCACUAAUAAGUCAUUGACGCUGAUGGACGAAAGCGUAGG